ACGGGGACCCGCACAAGCGGUGGAUGAUGUGGAUUAAUUCGAUGCAACGCGAAAACCUUACCUACCCUUGACAUGUCCGGAAUCCUGCAGAGAUGCGGGAGUGCCCGAAAGGGAAUCGGAACACAGGUGCUGCAUGGCUGUCGUCAGCUCGUGUCGUGAGAUGUUGGGUUAAGUCCCGCAACGAGCGCAACCCUUAUCAUUAGUUGCUACGCAAGGGCACUCUAAUGAGACUGCCGGUGACAAACCGGAGGAAGGUGGGGAUGACGUCAAGUCCUCAUGGCCCUUAUGGGUAGGGCUUCACACGUCAUACAAUGGUCGGUACAGAGGGUUGCCAAGCCGCGAGGCGGAGCCAAUCCCACAAAGCCGAUCGUAGUCCGGAUUGUUCUCUGCAACUCGAGAGCAUGAAGUCGGAAUCGCUAGUAAUCGCAGGUCAGCAUACUGCGGUGAAUACGUUCCCGGGUCUU
rnacentral:rRNA from 1 species